UAGGGAAUCUUCCACAAUGGGCGCAAGCCUGAUGGAGCAACACCGCGUGAGUGAAGAAGGGUUUCGGCUCGUAAAGCUCUGUUGUUAAAGAAGAACACGUAUGAGAGUAACUGUUCAUACGUUGACGGUAUUUAACCAGAAAGUCACGGCUAGCUACGCGCCAG
rnacentral:rRNA from 1 species